GGGGACUGUACCAGAAUCCUUAUUGAAAGAAGCUCGUAAAACGGGUUCACUGAACCUGUCAAACAGGGGCAUUAGUGUUAUUCCUCCUAAACUGUGGAGACUCAAUAUUGAUCCUCCUGAUGGUAGUACUGCUUCUUUUGAUGUUGAUGAGAGAUGGUGGGACCAGGUGGAACUGACUAGACUGGAUCUAUCAUCUAACGAAAUCAAAGAAA